AUAACUGUCCUGUGACAGCCAGGCGAUCAUAGCGAGCGACGUUGCUUUUUGGUCCUUCGAUGUCGGCUCUUCCUAUCAUACUGAAGCAGAAUUCAGGAAGCGUUAGACUAUUCACCGAACGUGAGCUGGGUUUUGACCGUUGUGAGACAGGUU
rnacentral:ncRNA from 1 species